rnacentral:tRNA from 2 species
GGGGCGUUAGCGCAGUUGGUAGCGCGCUUCAAUGGCAUUGAAGAGGUCACGAGUUCGAAUCUCGUACGCUCCA